rnacentral:lncRNA from 1 species
UUUUUUUCAUUUUAUAGACAUUUAUCUCACAAACUCGCACUUUAAAUCCGCAAUAUAGUAAAUUGUGUUUUAAAAAAUCAAAUAAAAAAACCCCAACAAUGAUUCCUCUUCUGUGUGAACCAGGUUUUGCUCCUUCAGAAAGAGAAGACUUCUCUUAAACAGAACUCUGAACAAGAAGUAUGUCAGCUGUGGACGCAGCUGGACAGCAUGAGGACCAGUCGCCAUGAGUUGGGAGAGCUGAAGGAUCAGCUGCUCGCUCGCUCGGCUCGUGUUGAUGACAUGGAGUGCCUGAAGACAGAGUUUAAUGAACAAAAACGGGAAAUCAAAGAACAGAAUGAGGCUGAGCUGGAAAGCCUGAGGAGGUACAAGAGCACAAACAGUCCUGAUGCAUUUAUUCUCACAAAAGUCUUUGCCUCUGUUAUUUGUCCAGGUUUGAAAUGUGAGGUUUAGAUUGAAAACUGGUAUUAAAAAUGUUUUAUUUUUAUCACUGAUGUGGUUUGCACAUUAUGCCUUCUGGCCACAGUCAAGAUUGUCAAUUAUGUCAAUUGGCCUCUUCAUAACCUUUCACUGCUCACAUGAAAAUUAAACAUGCUUUAUCUCCGUUUUUUUUUUAGGUACUUUGAGAAGCGAUUGCAGGCAACAGAGGAGAGCUACAGGGAGGAAAUUGCGUUGCUCCAGCUGAGGCUGGUGGAAAGUGCCUUGGAGGAAUCUGUGAUUAAAACUGCAGAUGACAGGUAUGCCAGUUGGUCGGUAUGUAAGACCAGAUGCAUGUACUACAAACUUCCAUACGUCCUAUUUGAAUAAUUGUGCCUCUGGUCUCAGUUUCAGUUCCAUGUCUCAAGGCCAAGCUGAGGAGGAAAAAGCUCAUGUGCUUUCUGACACUGACUUCAAACUAGAGAAACGCAAGGAAGCGCUUGACAGUUUGCGCCUUCAGCUGGAGGAGAGACACACAGCGGAUCUUGCCAAUCUACAAUCUUCUAUGACUCUUUCCUUUAAGGAAGAGCUGCAACAGGUCAGACACAAACUCAGUCCUUCAAUCUCUAUUGUCUCUAUUUACACAAAAAAGACAAUAAGAAGUUAAUAUGAGAGAGGCAAAGUGAAAAGGCACAUUCAAA